rnacentral:rRNA from 1 species
CGUGAGUGAUGAAGGCUUUCGGGUCGUAAAGCUCUGUCAAGUGGGAAGAACCUGCAGUAUGCCAAUAUCAUAUUGCACUGACGGUACCACUGAAGGAAGCACCGGCUAACUCCGUGCCAGCAGCCGCGGUAAUACGGGGGGUGCAAGCGUUAUUCGGAAUCAUUGGGCGUAAAGAGCACGUAGGCGGCCUGGUAAGUCAGAUGUGAAAGCCCGGGGCUUAACCCCGGAAGUGCAUUUGAUACUGUCAGGCUUGAGUAUGGGAGAGGGAAGUGGAAUUCCUGGUGUAGAGGUGAAAUUCGUAGAUAUCAGGAGGAACACCGGUGGCGAAGGCGACUUCCUGGACCAAUACUGACGCUGAGGUGCGAAGGCGUGGGUAGCAAACAGGAUUAGAUACCCUGGUAGUCCACGCAGUAAACGUUGUUCACUAGGUGUAGCGGGUAUUGACCCCUGCUGUGCCGCAGUUAACGCAUUAA